rnacentral:rRNA from 1 species
UACGUAGGGGGCAAGCGUUGUCCGGAAUUAUUGGGCGUAAAGAGCGCGUAGGCGGUCCGAUAAGUCGGCUGUGAAAGUCUAGGGCUCAACCCUGGAAAGCCGGCCGAUACUGUCGGACUAGAGUCCGGAAGAGGCGAGUGGAAUUCCCGGUGUAGCGGUGAAAUGCGCAGAUAUCGGGAGGAACACCAGUGGCGAAGGCGGUUCUCUGGGCCUGACCUGACGCUGAGGAGCGAAAGCGUGGGGAGCGAACAGG